UUACAACGGAGAGUUUGAUCCUGGCUCAGGAUGAACGCUAGCGGCAGGCCUAACACAUGCAAGUCGAACGGUAACA
rnacentral:rRNA from 1 species